GCAACGCGCUCCCGGUCGUAUAAUAUGUGGAAUAUGGCAUCGAGUUGGAGUUAUCUAACCUUAGCUGAAAAACAUAACGUAAUAGAAAACAAAUAAACCUUCUUUAUGUGUUGAGGAUUCCCAACGAAAUUAUCAUUUCUGAAUUCACCUCAACGCCAAGUAUGACACACUCUACAAACCAGCUUACAUCGUACCUUGGAAUGGCAAUCGUUAGCUUGAGCCAUCAUCGUCGGAUGCAAUACAGGUGAAAUCUGUACUCUGUGUACACCUCACGUCCCAUUAAGAAAAUUAAAAAAA